UUUUAUGGAGAGUUUGAUCCUGGCUCAGGAUGAACGCUGGCGGCGUGCCUAAUACAUGCAAGUCGAGCGAACGGACGAGAAGCUUGCUUCUCUGAUGUUAGCGGCGGACGGGUGAGUAACACGUGGAUAACCUACCUAUAAGACUGGGAUAACUUCGGGAAACCGGAGCUAAUACCGGAUAAUAUUUUGAACCGCAUGGUUCAAAAGUGAAAGACGGUCUUGCUGUCACUUAUAGAUGGAUCCGCGCUGCAUUAGC
rnacentral:rRNA from 1 species